UCAGUCAUCAGUGUUCUGUCAAAGCAGUUAUAGGUUUUUACUCCUGCAGCCAACUCGGACGUGGUUUGCGAUGGAUCCGCUUUCACAAUAGCCUUUAAUUCUUCAUUAUCGACUUGGGACUCAGGCCGUCCACGGGACUCGUUCUGCAGGUCGAAAUUUCCAGAACGAAAACAUUGGAACCAAAAACGAACUGUGUUUUCUUUUGCAACAUGACCGCCAUACACAUCAUUCACCCUUCGAGUCGUUUCGGCAGCACUAUUGCCACGGCGGAACUCGUACUCGUAAAUAAUGCGAUACUUUAAGUUUUCCAUUUUGUAAAAUGAGUGACGCAAACAGAAAAAAACAAAUGAAUGACGGUCAUCGAAG